AGAAAGUAAGAUUUCAAGGGCCGUGUAGGAUAUUUCAUUUCUAGAAUUUCUUUUUUCAAAUGUGCCAUCAUGUACGUUUAGAGAAGUAUUAACGGUUAAAACAAGCCGCCAAGCUCUUAAUUCCAUUACGAAAUGUCAUCACAGCAGUCAAAUGCGUGAACUAGUUUGUCCUCCGUUCGCUCCACCUACUGUAGGUGUAAAAUUCGCUCUGUCGUCCGGUUCCUUAUUUACGUAACGUCUCCAUGGCCAGCAUUCAACGCCAGUUUGUGGAAACCUAUCGAUCCAAGGAAAUGAUACAUUUCCAUGUUACCAAGUGGAUUCAGUUAUUUAAAGAAGGCCGUGCUGAUAUGCAUGAUAAUGUAAGGAGUUGAAGACCGUUCGUCGUUUUCGAAGACC